CGUUGUCGAAAUGCUCAGCACGAAUUUAUAGAGGCUGGUAAAACUGGCUGUGCUGGACUUAGCGAGAAAUUGCAUAUCAGUCUCCAACACGGCAACUUUCAAGAGACUUUCCAGGGACCCUCAGCUCUCCUUUUGCGACCUUUUGACUGAUGGAAUCGGCUCACCUGGAUCUUCAGGCUAAUCUUCCUCAAAGUCAACUGAUGGCCUUUAAUCACGCCUACAGAAUAUCUUCACAGAAACACCCAGGGAAUUCUUGUGUAAACUGGAAAUUUUCCAGUCUGUGAGCCCUGUGCCAGGCCCUCCCAUAAAUCAUAGCAAGGAGGCUGUCGGCUUGGCGGAGGCGGAGGGGCCGCCGGGGAGAGCAGCGAAGCCCGGGGAAGGAGCCGGCAGGCGGCCGCGGGGGAGGACCCCGAGGAGCACCGCGUUCUCAGCACCUCCUCCCUGAGCCUCCACAAAGCGCUGGGAAAAGAAAAAGGAAAAGAAGGAGCAGCCGCGACCACAGGGCUUUCUGCCAGCAAGUCUGCAAACACCCCCAGCCCCCCACACCCCUAACCUGGGAGAGGCCCCCGAAACAGGUCAUUUUUAAAUUGAAUACGAUAUUAAUUACCGCGUGCACCAUUAACGGUUUGUGGGAUUUGACUAAUUAAUGUAAUAGUUUUUGAGUCACGC
rnacentral:lncRNA from 1 species